AAAAAGUAUUUUAUGUUGUGUGAAAGAAAGUAUAUCUUGAUAUGUCAUGAAGAGAAAGAGAAAAAUAAUGUUCUUUGUUUGAUUAAAGUUUAUGAAAAAGUAAAGAUUUACUUUAACAAAAAGAUCACAAUGUUUAUGAUGUCAAAGUAUGUAAACUAAUUUGAUUAAUUUAAUUUAUUAAUGUAAAUAUUAACGACCUAAGUUUGCAUAAACGCGAGGUGAAGUUGUAUAAAGAAAAUUCCGUCCAACACCCCAAAAAUAAAGUUUUCACUAUAACAACAAUUGUACAAAUAUAAAAAUACAAUACAAAAUUAAAAGGGCCUCUUUGAAUGCAACUCUCGACGAGUAAUCCAAAUAACCUGUAUAAACACUAGUAAAAAUGUUAUAACAAAUAAAUAAUAAUCAAAAUAAAUUGAACAAGAAUGUGUGUAUAUAAAUAUUUAAAAAGAUAUUUUUUUGUUAAAAAAUGGGCUCAGAUAAAGUCAUGACUGUGAAAUGAUUGCUCAAUUAAUUGGUCGUCCUAAAUCGUUUUGCUACGAAGUGGUUGCUCAAUUAAUUGGUCGUCCUAAAUCGUCUUAUCAAAAUCUGAAUUGUAAAAUCUUGUAUUGUUAUAAAGUUUCAUCAUCGCCCAAAAAAUAUCUUUUAUUACGUAUCUGUAUAAGUAAAGUCCAUCUUUUAUUUACGAAGGCCUCAAAUUAAUAAUAAUUUUUCAUCGGCCACAAUAGUAUUUAUUCGUUAUCAGUGUAUAAAUGAUAAAAGGAUAUAAUCAGUCUGAAAAGGACACCAACAUAGUGAGCAACUAUAAUAGUCGUGAAGAAAUAUCCAAACAUAUAGCCAACUUCACAAAAAAUUCGAUACUCCAACCAACAACAUCAUGAGCAAUAGUGAAAAUCCACUAAUCCAAAACAUCAUAUGCAACAGUGAAAAUCCACUAAUCCAGAAUAAUAUUAAAACGAAGCAACAAAUCAUCAGCCUAAAAACAACCAUAAAUGGCAAGAACAAAUCACAAAUGGAUCCGAAAAAUAGGCACAUUCCUCCCAAAAAAAAUUAAGAUCUCGCCAGAUAAUUCACACCAAAAAUAUCAAAAGAUCCAAAAUAGAGAGGGGAAAAAAUAUUAGAGCACCAUAAAUAAUCCAAAUCCAUAAAAUAAGUACAUUAUUAAGCGGAUCGUGUAAUAACAAAUAAAGGUUGGCGUUGCUUCAAUGAUGUAUACCGGAUCAACGUCGGAACCCAGAUUCCGGCCAGAUAUGCAAAUCGAUAGGUGAAAAACAAGAAAAUAUGAACCAAAAGAAAUGAGAGGAUAUUGCCGCGACGGUGGUGGUUCACCAGCGACAGUGGAGCAAUGGGGGUUGCGGCUGGCGUGUGGUGGCUGUGGCGGCCGAAACUCAUCGGAUCGAGUGGUUCGCCGGUGGUUAUAGGGGUUUGCCGGCGUUGCGUCAUUGGUGGUGUUGGAUCUCGAAGGUUGAAAAAAGGGGUGAUGGCGUGACUGUUGCUCGCCCGCCGGCGAUGAACUCUGGCGAGGCGCGACAAUGGUAAGGAGAAGAGAGAUCCGUGAGUUGAGAGAGAGAAUGGGUUUUGUAUAUAUGUGUAGUGUAUGUAAGUUCAUGUGUGUGUAUUGUGUGAAAAAAAAAUGGAGAUAUAAUAUGUAUGUGUCCGUUCAAGUGUAUGUGAUCUCUGAAUAAAGAAGAAGGAAAAAUUAAAAAAAUGAAUUCUCUGUAUUUUAUAAUGUGAGAGAGAUUGUAUAUUGUUGUUCUGAGUUCAUUGUCUGUCCAUGAAUGGAUGAUAGCAUAGCUAUUUAUUUUGUGAAGAAAAAUAUCAAAAAUAGACGUUGUGUAAUGUAUCCGUUGGAGUGUUUUGAAGAGCAAAAUAGAAAAAUGGAAUAAAUAAAAUAUGCUUGUAUAUUUAUGAAUAUGUGUGUGGGUUUGAAAAGGAAAAAUGUUUAUGAGUUGUAAAAAUAAAUAUAUAUGUAUUUUGAAAGAGAGGAAUAAAUAAAUAAAUAAAUGUGUGUAUUUAAUGUGUCCUCCCACCACAUAUUUAUACAAAAAAUUGAGCACCCCUUUUAUCCAAUGAAUAAAGGAGUGUCCUCUCUUUUUAUAAUAGAACACCCUUAGGUCCUUAAGUUAUUGGCCAAAGAAUUUUCAUCCUUUUAACCGAUGGACAAAGUAAUUAUCCAAAGGGUAGUGUCAUUGAGUGGUCAUUGUCAGAUAUGACAAGACAACACUGAGUGGUCAUUGUCGAACGUGACAAGACAAUUUUGUGUAGUCAUUGUCGGAUGUGAUAAGACAUCGAAUUAUUACACUGCACAAAAAUAAUUGAUCCGACUCAGCAUUUGCGGAAUGCAAAAUAUAGAUGUUGAAUGAAAAAAUGUAAAGAGUAUUAAAAUUAUUAAAAUAUAAUUAAUUUAAAAAUACUGUAAAUAUAUAUAUAUAUAUAUAUAUAAUGACAUGUCGCGUCAUGUCGUGCACGUGUGUGGGUGAUUGUAAAAUGUUAAGAACGAUAAUGAAUUGAUAAAAAUUCUAAAAUUAGAAAAAUUAUUAAUAAAUUAUAAAAAAUAAAAACAUGACAACAAAUUAAUUAAAAUCCUAAAGAAAGGAUAAUUAUCAAUAAUUUAUCAAACAAUUGUAAAAAGAUGUGAAAAUUAUUCUUCGUGCCCUUUAACGAACAGAAAGCCUGAAAACGUUAAUUUUAAGCACGAAGAGCAAAAAUUGGAUGUCAACACCUAUCACGGCUUGGGUCGUGACAUAAGCUCCGCGGCACAUCGCGAACCCUUGCUGGUUCCUCAUGGAAAUGCUCUAAACUUUUCGCUCGGGUAUCGAAUUAAGUAGAAAUCGAAUGCGUUGGAAAGAGGACUCAUUUAUAUUUAAUUUGGUAGGCCUUGAGACCCAAAAUUUCACAUAUUUCAAAAGUUAUACACGUUCAAAGUUGAUCCUUAUAGAAUUUGUUUUGCGGAGAAAUUUUGACUUUUUGAAUAAGCGGUUCCUAUUAACGUUUUAGAAAGGUGUUAAGACACCUAAAAUGUCCGCUAACUUGCGGUUAUCCGGACUGUUUGAAAACGUCUUUUGACUAACUUUGAAAGAAGUUGUUUUUUGAAAAGAAAACCGAUUUUAGGAAUAUUUUGGAGUUUAUGCAAAACCAGUUUUUAGUGACUUGACUAAGAAUUUAACUAGGUUCACAAAACACAUAAGGCAAACAAGCGUAAAGAAAAAGGGGAAGGGGAGAAAGUAAGGGAUUUAGGUCAGUGGGCCCAAAUCAAUGAGACCUGUCCUAGCCAAAUUGGGCUUUCGUCCAUUUCACCUGUCCUAAUCUAGUUUUUAACCCCUUUUGGCUCGAGUCUCGCUUCACCUAUAUUAAAUUUAUAACUUUAGCUUCGAGGUCCAAAUGCAAGAAUAAAGGAAUAAAUAAAUAAAUACGACAACAAUAGAUAAAUAAAGACAACAAAUAAAUAACCAAAACUGACGCUCGGGUUUCGUCGUCACUUCAAGAAUGGGACUUUAACCCAUUUUCCUUCUUUCGACUCCUUGUAUCCAUGCACUACGGGAUCACUUCUGAACUUAGAACUUUGAAAAAAUGACUUAGGGCUAGACGGGCCUCAAUGGCCCAUAAUGCACAUGCAAUGGGACUCAAACUCAUCCACAUACAAAAAGAGAAGUGACGUAAUUAACAUAUAUCCGAAAGUUAAUAUUUAAACAAAUACUAAAUUAUCAUGUAUAAAAAAAAACAUGCAAAAUUAGUUUAACAAAAGUAUCUUCCCAUUAUUAACAUACAAGAAAACCGGCUUAGAACUGUACCCUAUUACUUAUUUUCUAAUAAUUAGUAUGAUGAAUGUACCUUGGUAUACACCAUCUGGGAGCAAUUCAUGAAUACAAGCCUUGUUUACUUAGCAAAAAGAGUUGAAUACGCAGUGGGAUUGUGUAGAGUACUAACAAGAUGGGGCAUGCACAAUAGAAGCAUAUUACUUAUAGAUAUAUACAUGAACAAACAUCACAGCAGGUUAGUAUUCAACUGUCAUCAAUACCCAUUUGACAUAGUCCGGCAUUGCAACAACAUUCAAUGUAAAAGAUAAUUACCCUAAACAACUAUCCAUGUGAAUAUAUUUUAUUCUCUUUCCAGUUGCUUGAGGUUUAAGAUUUCAAGUAAUGGAAUCUUUAUUCAAGUCUUUGAUUCACAGAAUGCAACAGAACACUAAGAAAAGAAAAAUAAAACUAGAAAUAAAAAAAAUCAGCCAGCUAUUACAUGUUGUCACUAAAAGCACUUGCGAUUGAGAUUUGCAAAGACCUUGAUCCCUGUCUUCGGAGGUAUAUCUUUUACGUAUCCUGAUUACACCCUAAGUUCUAAAGGGAACUUUCUUAUUAGAACUGAUGCAUAUGCAUUUCGAAUGCCUUUUCCUUCACCAACAGAUAUGAAUAAAACAACACUAACAAACAUUCAGAGACUUUGGAUGCUUCAAAACAAAGAUGCCUCUCUAAAAGAGAUCUUCAGCAACUAAAGUUUGUAUUCUAAUUCUAUUGCAUUGCAAAAGGUUCAAUGACCUCUCUUUAAUUCUAAUUGUUUAACUAAUACCAAAAGGAAUAAAAGAAAACAGGUUCAAAGCAUGACAUCAUUUUAGAGAAUUGAAUACCAACACGAUUUCAUUUUAAGAGUAAAAUAAAACAGCCCAACGAAGAUUAUGACAAGAUGAAAAGAUCCUUAAACAGACUCAACAAUCGAUCCAAUCAAAACCAAUAGUAUGGCUCAAAAAUCUCCUCUACUCAAGUAGCCCAAAGACAUGCAGUUUUCGGUAAUUGUAUGGAAAGCUUGCAACAAGUAGAAACAAUAACGAGAACAGGGAAGGAUGAACAUUUCUUAAUCUUAAACAAAGAUAAAAUUCCAUCUUGGGUAUAUAAGAUCUCAUAUCAUAGAGCAACGAAUCUAACCCCAAAAUUUGAAAAUGCAGCGUACAAAGUGGAUAGAAAUAUUUGCAUCAAGCAAGCACGAAUAUUGAAUAUACUUAGCUGAACAGAGAAAAAAUCGAGUGCCUAAACAAAUCUUAUGGUCCAAUUACCUAGAAGAGCCGAUUAUCACAGAUUACCGAAAGGAGAAGAACAUAUGCAACUAAUCGAUAGUUAUUCAAAUAAAAAGAUGAGAACUUAAAAAUGGCUAUAACUUGACAGAUUAUUACGCGGUGUAUUACAACAAAACAAAUUCGACAAUAUCAAUCCAUCAGUGAAUCGAAAAAACAGAAACAUAAUCACAUAACCAUAACGAACCCCACAUCAAUUAUUUCAACACAACAUCCUACUGCCUUUGUAGCCUCUACAGUAUAUAACCCAGCAUGCAAUAUCACUAAUACUCGCAACUACAGAAGGUUGAGAUGAAGUAGACAUAGUCAAAAGAUAAGCGAAAUGGGGUGUUACCUUUUUUGGAGCAGCAAAUAGGACUAAGAGCUAACUGUCGAAAUCCGCCACCACCGGAAAUCAGCGUUAUCAACUUGAUAAUCUCCGAUUAGUCAACCAACUUUCAGAAAGAAGAACGAAAAAGAAAGUUUUCACUAAGGGAACUGUUUUGAUCCCAAAAUUUUCUCCCACCUCUUUUCGAACCCAAAAAAUUCAAACCAAAAAUCCUCAGAACCUUUACUUUCCUUAUCAGACCUCAAAAUUUCCCAACACUAGUUUUUCAACCUAAGAGCCUAAAAGAGAAAAUCCCCCUAUUCCCAGACCCAAAAUUUCAAACCCUAAAAACGGUGACCCAGAAGAAAACCAUCCUCUCUUUUCUUGCUCCAGAGAGAGCUAUUUAUAGAAAGGGGGAUUGAGGGUUCAUUUUUUGAAUUCAAAAGAUGAGAAUGCUAACAAAUCGUACCCCCUUGUUGAUUUUCAUGAACGGAUUUCCAAAAAUGGCCAAUAGAAAUUUAAGAAAAUGGAAUCAUCUUCACAAGCCAAUGAAAAUUUUCCACCCUUGUACGAAAUCGUACAGCCUCAUCCGAGAUUCGCGAGGGUGAGCCAGCUCACCCAUUUCUAUAAACUUUCUUGAAUUUUUGUAACAAACACACGCCAUCUAGGCGGGUCGACGUUCGGAAGCUGUUUUUCGCCGAAUUUCGGGUUAAGGUUGACUGGACGAGUCGCGAAGUUGAUGGAUUUUGGUCGAUUUUUGGCUGGUUGUUUGCUGAAGGUCGAUGUUGUUGAUGGUUUGUU
rnacentral:lncRNA from 1 species